GGACGGAAGGUCCUUGGAAUAUUAGUCGGGUAUUUAGUUCCUGGCCCAGGCCACUUGGCAGUAGGUAAAUGUCAAGUUCCUUUAUUCCUUCCUAAGCGUUAAAUUAAUCAGUUA